rnacentral:lncRNA from 1 species
AGCUGGGAUGUGGUGGGCUGUUCAUUUCUGUCUCCUUACAGGAGAGCUCAUCCUAUUUAUAACAAGGAUAGGAAAUGUACGAGAGGUUCUGCAGAUCUAUUGCUUCGAAGAAGGAGACAGGGGAGUGCUUUGCACUUAAUGCAAGCUGAGAGUUGGGGCUGACAUGUCGUAUGGUAAAAGGACCUCUUUGCAGCAGAGCGCAAUUGUGAGAACCCAAUGCAAUCUCGCUGUCCCCUGGUGACUUUGUAUUUCAGGGUUGUGCUUCUGCCCUGCCUCGGUGUCAUUCUGACUUAUCAGUGUCCGGAGCCCUCCUGCCGCCCUGCCCUGAGGGGUAAACACACCGCUCUGCAGCUGCAGCCAUUCUGCUCCACGCAGCGUGCAGGCAGUGAUGCUCCUGGUUGUGGCUGUGCUGCAUUGGGUGCCGCUGUGUCACCUCACAGCAUCCCAGGAGAGCUGUGUGCAGCAGUGCAGGGCGCAGUGCUGAGCACCGGGACUCCCACAUGGAGCAGUGCUUGCAGUGUGCAGUCUGCAGCAGCAGGGCUGCCCCAGCCCUGCAGUGCCCAAUGCGUGCCUGCUGCAAGGCCGCUGCCCACGGCACACAGUGCUCUGUGGCUACAGGGGCACCGCUCCUCCUCUUCCUGCGUCCUCAUGUAUUUUUGGCUCCCAAGUUGUCAGAAGUGAUUUGAGCUCAACAGUUUUAAAAACUCGAACUCCAAACAGCUAUUUAAAGCCUUGACAGGAUACAAGAGUGUAUUAAAAGCUUAUUUUUAGAUCCAUUCUCGGUGCGCUCAAAAGCAGUUCAGUCCCCCCCGCUUCCUGCUGGCUGCAAGAGACGAGCUUGCAAGUGUGGCCAGGAGCCUCGGGGCAUAGGGUCCUGGGGUCCUGCCCCCCCACAGCCCCACAGCCCCACAGCCCUGUCACCUCCCCUCCAAGCUCCCGUGCCCGGGGUCCCAGCAUCACCCCCACGCAGCGCUCUGCAGGAGGCAGAGGGAGCACGGCACGCCGGUGUCACAGCCCUGUGGGGCACAGCAGCACCUGGGAAAGCACUGUGCUCCGUACUGGGAGCGCUGGAAGUUUGCUGUCGGAAACCAACAGUUUGGGUGCAGCUGGGGUGGGCACAGCCCCCAUUACCCCGGCUCUGAUGCCCCACGUUGCAGCGCGUGGCUCCGUGGUUCUGUCUGGUGUGAGGCAACACGGGUUUGUUUCGGAGAGCUUUGGGACCUGCC